CAUUCUCUGCGGUGUUUGUUAGCGAGUCAGGUAUUUUCUUGAGCCUAAUUUAUACCUCGGGGGCAUAAAGUCGGUGCUGUGUGCAUGUCCGCAUCAAGCGGAAAGCCUUAUGCGCCCCUGCUGUCCCCACUUGAACCUACUGGUUCAAGAACGACGAUAAGCAACGGCACAAGCGGAGAAUGC
rnacentral:other from 1 species